rfam:Rattus norvegicus chromosome 2, whole genome shotgun sequence.
GGGGAUUUAGCUCAGUGGUAGAGCGCUUGCUUAGGAAGCUCAAGGCCCUGGGUUCGGUCCCCAGCUCCG